rnacentral:lncRNA from 1 species
UUUAUUGCAGUCUGCCAAUGUGUGGAACCAUAUACAUACAGGUGAAAAAAAUCAGAGGCUAUCUGAAAAUCUGAGGUCAGAUCUAUGAGCGUAUCCUCAAGGAAGAGAGUUGCCGUCACCAGGGUGGUAUCCUUUGCUGGAUCUGAAAUUGAGGUUCCAUAUGUUUCUCAUGCCAGAAGAAGCCGUCCAAGGUAGAACAUUAGGGCUCUUAUGGUAUUUAUCUUGGUUUCUCAUUCUUCUCAAUAUAACACAUAUGGACAAAAUAUUUGUGUAUGUUCUUGUAUGCGUAGUUAGCUUUGCUUUUUAAGUUGAACCGUAAUCAAGGAUAAUGCAAUGUAGGGUCGCUAACAUAGCAAGGGAGAGGAGAAGUGUGAGCUAAGAUACAGUUUCUGUAGAGUUGGGUAACUUUAUAAGGAAGCUUUACGAUAUACGAUAACACUAUAACAAAUUAUAAGUUAAUGAUCUGCAAUUCGAACUCUUAGAUCUGCAUUCGUUUUCAUAUAUAUCUGAAUGUUGGACCCUCCAAUGUAAUAGUUUCAAAGUAUGAAGUCUUUCACACGUAUCUGAACUAUGUGUUGAUGACUUGUGGAUAUCAACAACAAGACUGUCCGAAAUUGAUGCAAUAUAGUCAUUAUACUCCUUGAAAAUGUCCCAACCAAAUGUUAAUAUGUGAUCUCUAAUCAAACUCGGUUAAGCCCUCCUGGUUUACGAAGAGCUGUGUGGGGUUUCACCGGUUUGGGGUUAGCCGUUUUACAUACUUGCUUUUUAAAAAAAUGAUUUCGUUUACAG